rnacentral:rRNA from 1 species
GAGUAAUGUCUGGGAAACUGCCUGAUGGAGGGGGAUAACUACUGGAAACGGUGGCUAAUACCGCAUAACGUCGCAAGACCAAAGAGGGGGACCUUCGGGCCUCUUGCCAUCAGAUGUGCCCAGAUGGGAUUAGCUUGUUGGUGAGGUAACGGCUCACCAAGGCGACGAUCCCUAGCUGGUCUGAGAGGAUGACCAGCCACACUGGAACUGAGACACGGUCCAGACUCCUACGGGAGGCAGCAGUGGGGAAUAUUGCACAAUGGGCGCAAGCCUGAUGCAGCCAUGCCGCGUGUAUGAAGAAGGCCUUCGGGUUGUAAAGUACUUUCAGCGGGGAGGAAGGUGUUGUGGUUAAUAACCGCAGCAAUUGACGUUACCCGCAGAAGAAGCACCGGCUAACUCCGUGCCAGCAGCCGCGGUAAUACGGAGGGUGCAAGCGUUAAUCGGAAUUACUGGGCGUAAAGCGCACGCAGGCGGUCUGUCAAGUCGGAUGUGAAAUCCCCGGGCUCAACCUGGGAACUGCAUUCGAAACUGGCAGGCUUGAGUCUUGUAGAGGGGGGUAGAAUUCCAGGUGUAGCGGUGAAAUGCGUAGAGAUCUGGAGGAAUACC